rnacentral:rRNA from 1 species
CAUGUCUCUCUGUUAAUUUUUUAAAGUUUGGUCUGCUCAAUGAAGUUUUUAAUAGCCGCAGUAUUUUAACUGUGCAAAGGUAGCAUAAUAGAUAGUUUCUUGAUUAGAAGCUUGAAUGAAUGGUUGGACGAAAAAAUUUCUGUCUCAGUUUUAUUGGUUUUUGAAUUUUAUUUUUGAGUUAAAAAUCUCAAAUUUAUAUGAAAGACGAGAAGACCCUAUAGAGUUUUAUAUUUUUAUAAUUUUUUAAUUUUAAAGGUAUUUGAUUGGGGUGCUUUGAAGAUUAAUAAAAUUCUUCUUUUUUUGACUAAUGAUUUUUAAAUUUUGAAAGUAUUAUUUUAAAUAAAAAUAAAUUACCUUAGGGAUAACAGCGUAAUUUUUCUUUAAAGCUCUUAUUGUAAGGAGGUUUGCGACCUCGAUGUUGGAUUAAAAUUAAUUUUUGGCGCAAUUGUUUAAAAAUUAGGUCUGUUCGACCUUUAAAAUUUUACAUGAUCUGAGUUUAGACCGGCGUGAGCCAGGUUAGAUUCUAUCUUUAGAUUAAUAUGUUGUUUUAGUACGAAAAGACCAAAUAAUAAUUAGAGAUUA